rnacentral:rRNA from 1 species
UCCGUAGGCGGGCUAUUAAGUCAGAGGUGAAAUCCCACAGCUUAACUGUGGAACUGCCUUAGAUACUGGUUAUCUUGAGUUUUAGUGAAGUAGAUAGAAUGUGUGGUGUAGCGGUGAAAUGCAUAGAUAUUACACAGAAUACCGAUUGCGAAGGCAGUCUACUAACUAACAACUGACGCUAAUGGACGAAAGCGUGGGGAGCGAACAGGAUUAGAUACCCUGGUAGUCC